rnacentral:lncRNA from 10 species
AUGGGGACCCAGGCACAGAGCGGCGGCCUCUCAUCCUCCCCAUGGUCAAGGAGGUCGGUGCCUUCCCGGAGUGGGUUGUUUAAGGACAGCAUCUGGCUCCUUCCCUCGGCUGGUGGCCCUCAGGGUCUGCGUCACACACACCCCAGCUCUCCUGACGGGUCUCUGCACUCGCUGUUGCCUCCGCCUGGAACAGUCUUCCUGCUGGUGUCAUCGUCUCUGUGGUGCGUCCUUCCUGACCUUCCACCUCCACCAGACCGGACACUUCGUGGAGGGCUCCAAAGCUGGCACAUCCCGGGGCCUCCUCUGUCUCUCCCAGGCCCUGUGUGUUGCAGUGAGAGGAGCAUUUGUGUCUCUGUGGUUUGCUGCUGGAGCUAAUGACCUGGAGAGAAACAAGGGAGACAAGGGUGUCCAGACAGGUGCGGGGCUCAGCCAGGAGGCAGAAGACGUGGAUGUGUCCCGGGCCAGCGCCACCAGGCACUCUGUGUGGCACUGGGAACAGGAAUUCUGAGAGUUAGUCUGUAAGGGUGGCGGGCAUUGCUCCCCUGGGAGAAGCCUUUCCAGUGGGCGCUGAGCAGGCUGUUAGCUCGUGCCCUGAGGAGGUGCAUGGGUGGCCUGGGGUCUCCACGGAAAUUACACGGGCGCGCAUGGGUGUGGCUCUGUGUUCAUGUGGGCGAGGACUUCUGACUGGUGUCAGGGCACUCUGCAUGACCCUGGCAGAAUCAAGCUGCCCCGACUGUGGAAGGGGAAGAAGAGCAUGCGUGACCCCCCACCAGCACCGCACCCCUCACUGCUCCACCUGGGGCUGCCUCUGGGGGUGGCUGGGUCCUGACCGACUGUUGUGACAGUUGAGGCCAGGGGUGGGGUGGGGCAUGGGAGUUAAGAGGACUGGCCAGGUGGGGCACACCGUGUGCCCACCCCCAGUGUCAGGAACUUCCCCCUCCUCCACCCCCUCGUCCUCCUCCUCAUCAUCAUCCUCACUUGUUGAGGACGUCCUGUGUGCCAGGUGGUUUAUAUGCCCAGCCUCAUUUAAUCCUCAGAAUAACUCCAUGAGGUAGCUACUAAACCCCCCCCCCCCACUUAACAGAUGAGGAAACUGAGGCCCAAAGAAGCUCAGCAAGUUGCCUAAGGUCCAAGUUUCCUCUCCCAACUCUCCUACCCUCUCCUCUUCCUUCUCCUCUCUCCCAUUCUUCCCUGCCUCUUCCUUAACUAGACAAUUUUUUAUCGAGCAUCUCCCAGGUGCAGGCAUGAGCCAGGUGCUGGGAAGAUCACGAUGAUCCAGCUCCUUCUGGUCCUUUCCUUAGCUGGUUAGAGGCUGGGAGGACACGCAAGUUCAGCUCCAGCCGACUGGGGCACUGGUGGUAGCCCCUGGAGAACUUGUGCAAUGGGGCUAUGAGGCUGAAUCUGGCUCCAGGAAAGCAUGUUGCAAUCCACGAGUGAUGUCUGCCAUGCGCACAGGCAUGGAGAGUGAGGCACCUGUGCUGUCUUCUCGUAGACCCUAGACUGGUGGGGCCUCUGAAACGCACCCAGACACUGUGCUGGGUGUGCUGCAUAGCCCUCCUAACCAAUUCAGUACUUUUCUCUCCAUUUUCCAGGGAGAAAUCAGAAUCUAAGGUGUCAGAAUGUAAGGUUCCUGUUGGAACCCAGGCUCCAGGGUCCCUGGUUUUCUGUGACAUCAUGCUGCAGGACCCUGUUUCUCUCUUUGCUUUGGCUGCUGGGUAGCUCGGAAGGGAGCUUUAGGCUUGCUCUCAGCCACUACAUUAGCUCAGGGGUUUGGGCAUUUUUGUUGCCGGCUCCUUUGGGCUCUUUGUCCUCCCUACUGUGCUUCCCGAGGAGCAGGGCCGGAUGUAAGUUAUCAGCUAUAAAUAAAACCAAGACUUCCGUUCUGGCUCUCACUCUAGUUUCCUGGUGCAUUUUUUUUUUUUUAAGUUCUUAAUCAAGGGAGGGGGUACUCCUGACUGAAGAUGACAUCAGCAUCAGCUGGCCCUGGGGGGCAGGCCCCCAGCCCCCAGGCCCGUGUGGUCCCUGAAUGCCCCCAUUAUGAGGGGGUAACCUCAUUACACAAGACGC